UCAUGAGCUCCAUGAAUUUUAUUCUAAUUAAUUGGAGAUCUCCACCCUGGACAUUUCAGAAGGCUAGUUUUUGUGAUUAAGUAGUUAUAUAUUGAAUUAACUUACCAAAACAAUAUGAAGAAGAAAGUCAUUCAUAAUUUGUGGAUUAAUACUAUUCAAAAAAAUUCAGUUGUCCCUCCUACAAGGGAAAAUAGUUGAGUUUCCUUAUUAAAGCAACUUCAUGAGUACCUGAGGAAUAGCCACUAGGUAUACAAAAUAAGUCAUUUUUUAUAUUCGCAGAAAUAAUUAGUAGCAAAGAAUCUGGAAGUAACACCAAUAAAAAUGUGAACUCACGUCUCCAUUGCAACAUUUCACUGCAUCUGAACAAUGUUCUUAAAGGCAAAGGCAUAUCAUAUACUUAAUUUUCAGUAACUGGCAGUCUGCAAACAGCAUGAAUGUCUUAGAAGCCCUCUGGGGAUAUGCUGGCAAGAGUAUGGAGUAUCCAUAACAGGUUUUAAAUCUGAGGUCCUCACCCAGGAGCAAACAGCUUGAAAUUAUCCCAGCCUUACUAGGGGGCAAAAGUGUGCUAUCAGCAGCUGGGGAAUGGCCUUUCGCUGAGGGGCAUGACUCUGUAAAUCACCUUGCAUCACAGCAAGAUAAGAGAGUUCACUUGAGUGGUAAGAAUAACAAGCUUCUGUGUAUGCUAAAUACAAGGUAAUUUCCAGUAGCUUUCCUUGUAUCCCUUGUGCUGUGAUUUUAUAAUGUGAGAAGAAUCAGCAGUUGAAAAAGCUACAUCUACCAAACCUCUAUAAUCUAACAUUUGGUAGUCUUGAUUCUUGAUCAAAUAUCUGUAUUUUUGCAUGUUUUAAAACAAAAUUAAUACAACUGUAAUAGACAAUUACAUUCCAGUACGACAGGCUAAAUCAGUCCUUAAAGCAAUUUGCACCUUUUCUGAGCAGCCGCAAUAGAAGUAUGGCUUGCAGUAGGAGCUGGGACAGGAUCUGGGACAAUUCUUGUACUCAUGUACACACAGACGCAUGACAAGAAAGCUGUGGCAGGUUCUUCAGGGAUGAUGUAGACCAGCCAUACUCAAGACGCAUAGCACUCACAUGCAUUCGGAUAACAAUCAUAAAACUUUUGUGUGCUUCCUUUUCAUGACUGAAACUUAGCUACUGCUAACGCAGUACAUAAUAGCAUAAUGGUAUGCAACUGUUUGUGACAGAAUGGAAAACAGCAGUUUCAGCCAUAGGAGAAAUUUGGGCUAAGCAGACAUAUCUAACUUGUCCAGACAUUUACUGAGAGGCUGAAUUAAUCACAGAAUUGUAGAGGUUGGAAGGGACCUCUAGAGAUCAUUGAGUCCACCCCCCUGCUAAAGCAGUUCCCUCCAGCAGGUAGCGUCCUUAUUCUUCUUCAAAGUGCUAUGGACAUUUAGUUGAACAAAAGUUAUCUGAGAUGCUAAAACUUAUUUGAAUAAUAUUUUCCAGGAGCACAGCAUAUGGAGGUGCUACUACUCUAGAGCAAAGGGCUGCCCUAUGAUCUUUUCCUAAAUUAGCUGUGAAUUUAUGAGACUUCAGAUUCAGGAAACUGGGUAAAUAUUUUUGUUGCCAGGAUAGUUGACAAUUACUCUUCUAUCACCUCCUUUUUAUAGACUUCAGUAGAUCGACUCCUUGCCAGGAAUUUGUUACAACUAGCAUUAGGUUUUUAAUGCUCAGCAAAAA
rnacentral:lncRNA from 1 species